GACUGAGAGCUGGAUCCAAAGCCCAUUCAAGUCAAUGGGAGUCUUUCCAUUGACUUCAAAGGGUUUUGGAUCAGGCUUUGAAAUC
rnacentral:pre_miRNA from 1 species